AAAGGAGCCACCAGAGUGUCCAGUGUCAGCUGUGGGGCCAGAGUGUCCUGGACACAUUUGCACCAUGACCGGGACUCCUCUCCUGCUCCUGCUCCUCCUCACCCUCUGCCCAGGGUCCAGCUCUCAGGCUGUGGUGACUCAGGAGCCCUUCCUGACAGUGUCCCCAGGAGGGACAGUCACUCUCACCUGUGGCCACAACACUGGAGCUGUCACCAAUGAGCACUACCCAUCCUGGUUCCAGCAGAAGUCUGGACAAGUCCCCACCACAUUGAUUUAUGACAUAGACAAGAAAAAUGGGUGGACCCCGGCCCGCUUCUCAGGCUCCAUUCUCGGGGGCAAAGGGGCCCUGACCCUGUCGGGGGCCCAGCUGGAGGACGAGGCCGAGUACUACUGCUGGAUGGUGUACAGCGGUGCUCGGCACAGUGACAAGUUCAGACCAGGACCCAGGACGUAA